rnacentral:tRNA from 1 species
GAUUAGCUCAGUGGAUUAGAGCGCAGGCCUCCGAAGCCUGAGGUCGGGGGUUCGAAUCCCCCAUCG